rnacentral:rRNA from 1 species
GACGUAGGGCGCGAGCGUUGUCCGGAUUUAUUGGGCGUAAAGAGCUCGUAGGCGGCUUGUCGCGUCGUCCGUGAAAACCUGCAGCUCAACUGCAGGCUUGCGGUCGAUACGGGCAGGCUGGAGUUCGGUAGGGGAGACUGGAAUUCCUGGUGUAGCGGUGAAAUGCGCAGAUAUCAGGAGGAACACCGGUGGCGAAGGCGGGUCUCUGGACAGUUCCUGACACUGAGACACGGAAGGCCCAGGGGGAGCAAA